GCCACGUUCUCGAACUCUCUCCGGACACAAGCAUGUCCGAACUCCCCCCCCGAGCUCGUAGGCAGAGAAGUCCGAACCGCAGAGUUCGGUGGAGCUCUCCCCCAAGAAGAUUCCACAGCUACGCCCCUCUCAAUGCUCCAAAAAUUUAAGUGCUGAUGGAGAUCAGGGAGCAGCUGCCAAGGUCGGAAAGGAUGCGCACACACCCCAGGAAGCGCAACCCUAACAAGUUCUGCCUCUAUCAUCGUGACCACGGUCACGAUACGGAGGAGUGUAUUCAGCUCCGAGACGAGAUCGAGGAGCUCAUCAGACG
rnacentral:lncRNA from 1 species